CCAUUGGUGAUGUUGCAAAGAAACUGGGAGAGAUGUGGAAUAACACUGCUGCAGAUGACAAGCAGCCUUAUGAAAAGAAGGCUGCUAAGCUGAAGGAAAAAUAUGAAAAGGAUAUUGCUGCAUACCGAGCUAAAGGAAAGCCUGAUGCG